AUACGGAGGAUCCGAGCGUUAUCCGGAUUUAUUGGGUUUAAAGGGAGCGUAGAUGGAUGUUUAAGUCAGUUGUGAAAGUUUGCGGCUCAACCGUAAAAUUGCAGUUGAUACUGGAUAUCUUGAGUGCAGUUGAGGCAGGCGGAAUUCGUGGUGUCGCGGUGAAAUGCUUAGAUAUCACGAAGAACUCCGAUUGCGAAGGCAGCCUGCUAAGCUGCAACUGACAUUGAGGCUCGAAAGUGUGGGUAUCAAACAGGAUUAGAUACCCUGGUAGUCCACACGGUAAACGAUGAAUACUCGCUGUUUGCGAUAUACAGCAAGCGGCCAAGCGAAAGCGUUAAGUAUUCCACCUGGGGAGUACGCCGGCAACGGUGAAACUCAAAGGAAUUGACGGGG
rnacentral:rRNA from 1 species